rnacentral:lncRNA from 1 species
UCGAGGGGCCCACAGAUAUCGCUUUUAUCCCGAAGGUAAAAGGAAUGGAUAAACUUCGACUCAUAUGGCUUGUUCUACUACUUGUUGAAUCAUACACAAAGGCACGUUUUAUAACAUCGAGUUACCAAUGCGUUUUCAUGCAAUCAAUGUACUAUCAACUCAUAGUAACAACUCAUAUCUCUAGGUUUGAAGAAUAUAAGAUAUUAUCGUGUCAUGAUCACUCGUGAUUAAAAUCCAUCAAGUGAUUCCAAUGAGCGCGGGUUGAAUCCAAUACUCAGAACUUAUGAGCACUCAUGAGUGUUGUAGCCCUUUGUCCAACACCUUAGACCUCUACAAGCCAACCCAUGACAGUCUUAAUUCAUAUCUACUUCCAACAUAUGACCGACUGUGGAUGGUUUGAAUAACUUAGUCAUUCCGGAAGAAUAACCCAGUUUAUUCGGGAAGUCAAAACAUGCAAAGUGAAACACAAUAAUAAUCGAAUCCAAUAUGGUCUCAAAACUUAUGAACAUAAAUAAAACACCUUUUAUUUAUCACCAUAUGAUUACACAUUAUUCAUUGUAUACUGUUUCAGCUAUCAACUUUAUUCUUGAAUUUAAAACAAUAGUUGUCCCAUGCUCCAAGCAUGUACACUAUGUUUUCUAAACACUAGUCAUGCCAUACACCAAGUAUGCAUACUAUGUUUGUCUAUGAUCUUUACUUUGUGAACUAGAUCCAUUGAACAUAACUUCAAUGAUUCUCUUUUCACACGUCCCAAAUCUUACUGCAAAUGCAAGAAUUCCAAAUUCAUGCCAUUUACUGAAAUCUAUUAGAUUCUAAGCUUAUAUGCAUUGAUCUUCUUGUAAUGAUUACGCACAAAGUCACAAGGACUUGACAACAAACAUUAGAAAGUAUUCCAAAGGAGUUCAGCUCCUUGGAAACAUCCUUCUUGCAUUAAGUUUCUUAAUCUUACAUAGAUUGAAAUUUCUAACUUUGAAACAUUUCUAGAUUCCAUUUUGACUAUCACUUCUGAACAAGAGUUGCCUCCUUACAGAUUAUGUCAAUAUGGUCCUUCCAGAAUUAUCACUAUACUUCCAACUGUCCUUGAGCAACCAAUCUUUGGUAAACCUUAGAUUGUCCUCGACAAUUGUUUAAUCCUUUUAGUCAUAUCCAGUUCUAAACCUUUUCCCUUCUUAAUGCCCCAGGCAUUUGGAAAAUUUUAGAACGGAUGAAUAUAGCACAUGUAAUCAAUCCUAUAUCCGAAGCAUAUGGGACACAAUUCAUCAUAUCUCACAUAAAGACUAAACCAGUCUUUUGCUAUACUAUUUCCAUUUCAAUUUGCCAAGUUCUCAUAAUUCAGAUUAUGAAAAGGGAUGUCGUAAUCAUAAUCGAAUUUUAGAAUGCAAAUAAUGGACCCAUAUACAUAAUUUCCUUAUGUUGAGCCAUUCCAACAUGAAAUUCAUAUAUAUAUAUCCUUGACUAAAUGAUUAAAACCUCAUGAUCUAAGCUUAUAGAUUUGAGAUGAAGUAUAAUUUCCUCUCCCUUAAUUAUAGCAAAACAACUUUUUCCCAAUUGAAACUUUUUGUUUUCUAUAAUUAACAUUGCUAACUUGCAAUACUUAUCAUAAUUAUCAUGCUCCCACUAACAUGAUGAUUAUUAGCAUAACACUUAUGCUCCCACUAGCUUUGACAUGUACUCAGAAAUCAGCUGACUUUCUUACCAAAGUUCAGAUUUCUGAUACUAGAUUGUUUUGAUAAGUCUUUAUCAAAAUCAUACACCUUCCCUUAGAUAGCACACUUGUGUAUCUAAACAAUUAUGAAGAGGGAUGCCGUAAUCAUAAUGUUUAGACCUUUUUGCCACUUCUCACAAGUCCAAAUUAGUGUGCCGGUUAACCACACGCGCUCCACUAACGACUUUGAGAAUGCAAAUAUCACAAUUGCUAUCUAGCUAAAAUCUACUUAGUGAAAGUGUUUCCUCACCAUCAUUUUCAUGAAUCGGAGAGAAACCUUAUGACACUUAGAUUUAAUGGUGUAUGUGUUCUUAUCCAUGUGAAUUGUCAAAACCAUAGUCACAAGACAAGGAUAAUGACAAAUCCAAACUCAUAUGGACUGAACUCAAUCUUAAUUUCUUGCCACCUGGCAGCUCAAGGGCCUGCCAUUGCUUCCAAGUUGUUGUGCAACAAAUUGAGAACUCUAAGAACUCAUAUGCAAAGCCAACUUUAACUGGAAUGGGCACAGAUAUGUCAACACGAUAGGUUAUAAACCUCAAGUCGUGUGCUAGUGAAGAACUUCAGGUUUUAUUCUUGAUUAGUUCUUGAGACUUUCAAGACCUUUAAGACUCCCACUGUCCUCUUGACAUAUAAGACUCCCUUGUCAAACAUCCAAGAGAUAGUGCGGAUUCUAAUCAAGAAAAACACUUUACCCAAUUGGCCUAAGUUGGUCUUUGUUUUAUCCAAAACAUCACAACUUACCAAUUUCAAAUGUACAAGAGUAGAAAACUUUUACUCUUACAUUUGACAAGUGUUUUAAACCUUCUUUAAGACAUGUCACUCAAAUGACAAUCUUGGAGUAUGACUCUAAGACUUGUAUUGGAACGAAGUAUGACUCAUCUUCUUGAUUUAACCAUUUCAACAAUUCAAGUUCCUCUUCUUAGUCAUAAGAAUGCACUAAGAUUUCCUUAGAGAACUAAUUUUGAUAUGGUUUCUUAAUCAUUAAGAUGAUCACAAAACUGAUACUAAAGUACUCUCCCAUCUUUUCAGAUUUGAGAAACUUUUAUCCUUCUGCCUAAUUUGAUUCUUCUUAUUCGCCCUGCCAUACAUUGGAACCUUUUCCAAUGUCUCAGAGUUACACUUAAGCUUGUAAGUAUAAUCAUAUUUACUGAGCUUUAGUAAACUAUGACGAAUAGUCUUAUCAAUCUUUUGUGGUGGACUUAAUCAGUGCACAAGAAUGUGUACUCGAUCCCUUAGUCCUUUACUUGACUCACACAUCCAUGUGGCCGAGUAAUUAGUCUUAAUUUUCCAAAACUUGAAAGUUCUCAUUCAUCAUGCUAUACAACUUGCAUGAUUCCAAGUUCCGGUCCAAUUGAAACUUGGGUGAUGAGAAUCUUUCCUUAUUUGGUAAAUCUAGACAUUACCACAAAUGAAAGAAUCAAUUUCAUAUUUCCACUCUUGCUCUUAAUGGAAUCAUAUAAGCAACAAUUUUUCCUCAAAAGCCAUUGUAAGGAUAUUUUAAAAUAAAUAAAAUCAAAAAAUUUUUCUUUUAUUUUAAAACUUUGCGGAAAAACUUAUCCUUACAAUCCAUAUGAAAACUUGUUGUUAUCUAUUCCUAAGCAAUAUCUCAUAACUCCUAAGAAGUUGCUCAAGAAUCCGAUCUUCAAACUAUGCGAUAGAAAUCCAUCUACGCCAUCAGAUUCAGCAUAUUCUUUCUUUAAGUUUCUUCACUUUUCUUUGAUUCUUAAAACAUCACCAUGUGACCCAGUCACAUCAUGUAUCAGGAAUCUCAGAAUAGAAACUUAACAGAGUUAGAUAGUGGACUUUACCUGAAGUAGAGUCAAACUUAUUGACUUUAACAUCCUUAGGUAAAUUUGGCAGCUUCGCAACCAAUGCCCCUUCCUUUGGCAAUAUAAACAUAUGGACCCUUUGAUAAUGGUACACGAGACUAUCACAGACUUAGCUUUUCUCUUUACCAUUUGGUCAACCGAGUUGACUAUGGCCGAUCCCUUUCCAUUGGGAAGAGAAUGCUUUACUGGAUAUCCAAUGUCAUCAUUGUCAAUGUCCAUAAAGUUUUAGGAAGUUGAUCUUAGCAAAUAGAUAAGAUCAUUAAGGGUCUUGUCAUAGUCUGUUUCAUAGGUGUCCCAAAGGAACUCACUAUGUGACUUAGAAAGUGAUUGAACCACCAACUUUCUCAAGACUUUGACACCCAACUCUCCCGGCUUGUCAAUAUGUGACUACAUCUCCAAGAUGUGAUCACACCUAGACCUUGCCUUGCCAAUAGGGCUUGAGUGACCUUAAACUUUUCAAGAACUUGUGGGUUAGGGAGAAUAAUUGGAGGAGGAGAAAGAAGUAUGAUAUCCAUGGGACAUCAUCUUCAUUAGGAAACCUUGUUUCAAGAGAUUUGGGAAGAUCAUAGGUGUCUAAACCAGACAUCUUUUGGGAGAUAUUCAAGAUAGUUGAUUUAAAGUCCUUAAUAUGACACCCAAUAUGAAAUAUUAAGGCUAGGACCCAACAAACUAUUUUAUAACUUAGAAGAGGUAUGCCGUAAUCCAAGCUAUAAAAUAUUUGAAGGUAGGUGAAUGACGAUUCACCAAUUUCCACCAAGAUAAACGAAAUGUAUUAUUAGGUUUUAAUUGGUUUUGAAACUCCUAGAUCUUUGAGAUUCAUUGAACUGUUCAAAGGCAUGUUUCAAUCUCGAGUGUGCCCUUCAGGUUUUGUGACUGGGAUGCCGAGGAUCACAAAACAAGGUGUGAAGUAACCAUGCAAAUCACUUGGUACCCUUAAUAAAUUACCCCUCAAUCGAUGUGCCGGUUAACCACACACGCUCCAUCGAUACUAUGAUAAAUAUUAAGUCACCCUUUACCUACCUUGUUAAGUCCAAGUUAGUGUGCCGGUUAACCACACACGCUCCACUAACGACUUAGACAAAGUGUAAAGUGUAAUUUCAUGGAUUAGCACCUUAUUCACAUUUUUCCUAAGUAACUAAGAUUGGGUAUUAUUAAGAGUUUAGUUACUUAGUAUUAUCAUUAAUACUUUUAAUGAAGGGAGAAUUCUAGUCCUGUCAAACCCGUUCGGCUAACGACCCUCCACCAGUCAAGCAAGCGGUGGGUGAGAGUGGACACCCAUUAAGUUGCCAUUUUAUAGGCAACAACCUUAUACCCACCUUAUAGACCGGCUUCGUGAAUGAGGCGUACUAGCGGUAAGACUGACUUUACUCUUAUACAUAUAUAUAUUAUUAACUUAUAAUAUUAUAAAGUAUAAGGGUUGAAUUUUAACUUUUAAAAUUCUAAGGGCUAACUUGGAAUUAAAGUAUUCAUAAGUGAAAACUUUACAAAUUCCAAAACUUGAGGGCAAGUUUUGAAACUAUUCAAAACUAAUUAAUUCCAUAACUUAUGUGUUUAAAGUAGUUUUAAUCCAAAAACUCUUCAAGUUCCAUAACUUGAGGACAAGUUAUGGAAGACUUUAAACUAAUAAAAGAAUUAACUUUUCUUUAUUUUAUAACUUAUGGAAUUAAUUAAGGUUACACUUUUUUUUUUUUUAUUUUAUUUUAUUAAAUGAAGAGACUCUUGGUCCUCCAUAACUUGAGGACAAGUUAUGGAGUCAUAAAACCAUUUAAUUAGAACUAGACUCUUCAUUUUUGUAACCUUUGCCAAUUUUUAUGAGUUUUAUGAUUCUUAAAUGUGACUUUUCAUAUAACUUGAGGACAAGUUACAAAAACACAUUUUAGAAUCAAUUCUUAGAUUAAUUUGGAUUAAAACCAACUAUCACAUAAUUUUAUUCAUUAAUCUAAAUUCACUCAUAAAACAAGGUAACACAAAAAACUUUUGGUGAUCCAUAACUUAUUCUUAAGUUAUGGAAUCCUUUAAAACAUUAACACCAAAUUUUGUAACUCCAAAAAAACUUUGAAUCAAUUUUUUUUUUAAAACCUUUUCAUAUCCAUAACUUAUGGAGGUUUCAAAAAAUAAAACUCUUUAGAUCAAACUUUUAAAACUAAUAAAAUAAUCAUAUUAUUUUAUCUUUUAUUAAAUUUGACCUAAUUCAACUCAUAAAGCAAAUUAUUCAAAUUUUACAAAUAAUUAGUUUUUCACAAGAACAAGUAAUUAUCUUAAAAUUUGACAAACUUCAUGUUUUUUUUUUUUUUUUUUUUCAACUUUGAAAAUAAAAUAUUUGCAUCAAUAUAACAGAAAACAACCCGUGGCUCUGAUACCACUGUUGGGUUUUGAGCAUUCUAACACUUCCUAAGUGUACAUGCAACCCUAAAUACCUUGGAUCUAUGUUUUCUCUAUUAUACAUGCAAAUAAGAACUUCCAAGGUAUUAUCCUAAUCUAGCAUACAAAACAAUAACUAUAGCAAGAUAGAAUACAUACCUCUUUGGUGUAGAAAGUCUUCAUGAAGCUUGAGUGCCUAGUGCCCCAAGUGUGACACCUCAAAUGGAAUCACAAUCAUCAAAACACUUAGAAUGACUUGAGAGAAUUCUACACUCAUCAAAAUCGGCUAGCCCUUUCUUCACUAUCUCUAGUGGCCGAUUUUUCCUCAAUAAUAAGAUGCUUAUAUAGUUACACAAUUAGGGUAAACUCUUAAUUGUCAUGGCUUUCCAUUUCCUUGGAUCCAUGGGUACAAAUACACCAUGGAGCAUCCAUGGACCAUCCUAUGGGUUUUAGCCCAACUUGAUUAUCCAUGGAGCAUUAGCCCACUAUACAAGUAUGGAUGAUUUACACAAUCAACCCAUAUAUUUAAUUAGUCUUCUUUUGAUCACUUAAUUAAUCCUAGAUUAAUUCUUGAUCAAUACUAAUUAAAUAAUCUUAUUAUUCUUAUUAUUAAUAUACUAGAACUUAUAAUAUAUUAAUAACCAUAAGUGUCUUAUUUCUCUCAUUAUAGUCUAUCCAAGUGCAUGAUGGUAUGCAACCCAAAUGGACCAUGCCGGGUCGGGUCAAGUCUUACCAAUUAUAGUUAUGGACUUAGACAUUAAUCCAACAGUCUCCCACUUGGAUAAGUCUAAAACUAUUAUUGCGUAUGACUUCAGGAACCAACUGGCAAUCGUAGCUCUCAAAAGCUUCUGUCGAACUCUGACCUUGUAGAUGAACUCUGACCUUUGUCAAUGACUUGUCCAUUAGAUAAGGGAUCAUAUAUUCCUCCAUUCUAGAUAUCAUAUGGACUGAGACAUGGAUUAUAAUCAUUCUCUCUGUCCAUUUGUUGUUUCCCGAUUUCCGAUUUAUGACGACUGACUAAUUGAACAAAUCAAAUCAGUCCUGGCCCGGCCGAGCACUUCCAUUUGUCAUCAUCAAAUCAUCGAGGGGCCCACAGAUAUCGCUUUUAUCCCGAAGGUAAAAGGAACGGAUAAACUUCGACUCAUAUGGCUUGUUCUACUACUUGUUGAAUCAUACACAAAGGCACGUUUUAUAGCACCGAGUUACCAAAUGCGUUUUCGUGCAAUCAAUGUACUAUCAACUCAUAGUAACAACUCAUAUCUCUAGGUUUGAAGAAUAUAAGAUAUUAUCGUCUCAUGAUCACUCGUGAUAAAAUCCAUGAAGUGAUUCCAAUGAGCGCGGGUUGAAUCCAAUACUCAGAACUUAUGAGCACUCAUGAGUGUUGUAGCCCUUUGUCCAACACCUUAGACCUCUACAAGCCAACCCAUGACAGUCUUAAUUCAUAUCUACUUCCAACAUAUGACCGACUGUGGAUGGUUUGAAUAACUUAGUCAUUCCGGAAGAAUAACCUAGUUUAUUCGGGAAGUCAAAACAUGCAAAGUGAAA